rnacentral:piRNA from 1 species
UGCCUCACUUACUCUGCGGAAGUAAACA